rnacentral:rRNA from 1 species
AUAGCUGGUUGCCUGUGAGACGAAUCUAAGUUCCCUCUUAAUUUUCCCUCCCGGACAAUCUUAGCCACCAUGUGAUAAAUCAAGAGCAAUUUAAAGGAGGUACAGCUCCUUUAAAAAAGAAUACAAUCUUCCCUAGUGGAUAACUACCCAACAUCCCCAGACUGUAGGCCCUCAAGCAGCCACCAACAGAGAGUGCGUCAAAGCUCUGCCCCCAAAAAUCCAAAAACAACAGGACUCCCUUACCUAUAACAGGCCAACCUAUGACAAUAGGAGAAUCAAUGCUAAAAUGAGUAAUCGGGGGUCACCCUCCAAAGCGCAAGCUUACAUUUCCCACAUUAUUAACAGACCCUAAACUAAUACCCCUAGCCCAACAAGCCAAGUAUUAAAUUCACUCUGUUAACCCAACCCAGGAGCGCCCAUUAGAAAGAUUCAAAUCUGCAAAAGGAACUAGGCAACCCUAAGGCCCGACUGUUUACCAAAAACAUAGCCUUCAGCCGACCAAGUAUUGAAGGUGAUGCCUGCCCAGUGACACCCAGUUUAACGGCCGCGGUAUCCUAACCGUGCGAAGGUAGCGCAAUCAAUUGUCCCAUAAAUCGAGACUUGUAUGAAUGGCUAAACGAGGUCUUAACUGUCUCUUGCAGACAAUCAAUGAAAUUGAUCUUCCUGUGCAAAAGCAGGAAUAAACCCAUAAGACGAGAAGACCCUGUGGAACUUAAAAAUCAGCGACCACUACACGCAACCCAAGACCUACCAGGCCUACGACCCCAUAAAACACUGGUCCGCAUUUUUCGGUUGGGGCGACCUUGGAGAAAAACAAAUCCUCCAAAAACAAGAUCAAUAAAUCUUGACCAAGAACAACCCCUCAACGUGCUAACAGCAACCAGACCCAAUAUAAUUGAUCAAUGGACCAAGCUACCCCAGGGAUAACAGCGCAAUCCCCUCCGAGAGCCCGUAUCGACAAGNNGGUUUACGACCUCGAUGUUGGAUCAGGACAUCCUAAUGGUGCAGCCGCUAUUAAGGGUUCGUUUGUUCAACGAUUAACAGUCCUACGUGAUCUGAGUUCAGACCGGAGCAAUCCAGGUCGGUUUCUAUCUAU